rnacentral:lncRNA from 1 species
GUUCGGCUCGGAAUCAGAAUAAUCUGUCCGGGUAACACCGCAAGGUAAAACGGAUUUCUACGAAGUAGCAUGUUAAAAAUCCGACUCAGGGUGUCGGUCUAUUACAAAACAGGUUAAUAUUCAUUUCACAUUAAUAUGUUCCCAUACGAAUAUGCACCUGUCCCAAGUCAGGAGCCUGUAAUUCAGUGGUUGUCGUCUGUUGAUGUGUUACAUACCAGUAUUUGUUCUUCGUUCAUUUUUUGUACAUAAAUAAUGCCGUUAGUUUUCUCUUUUGAAUUCUUUUACAUUUGUCAUUUCGGGGCCUUUUAUAGCUGAUUAUGCGGUAUGGGCUUUGCUCAUUGUUAAAGGCCGUACGGUGCCCUAUAGUUGUUAAUUUAUGUGUCAU